rnacentral:snoRNA from 1 species
GGUUGAUGUGAUGAUAAGCUUUCACAGAAACAUAGUGUUGACUAGAAAUUCAGACUACAAUUAUCUGAUCAACU